rnacentral:rRNA from 1 species
AGAGCGAACGCUGGCGGCGUGCUUAACACACGCAAGUCGAACGCGCAGUAUCCUGUAGCAAUACAGGAUGCGGGCGCGUGGCGAACGGGUGCGUAACACGUGGGCAACCUUCCCUUCGGUGGGGGAUACCCUCGCGAAAGCGAGACUAAUACCGCAUAACAUUCCCCUGGUUACGACUGGGGGAUUCAAAGCAGCAAUGCGCCGGAAGAGGGGCCCGCGGCCGAUUAGCUAGUUGGUGAGGUAACGGCUCACCAAGGCUUUGAUCGGUAACCGGUCUGAGAGGACGAUCGGUCACACUGGAACUGAGACACGGUCCAGACUCCUACGGGAGGCAGCAGUGGGGAAUAUUGCGCAAUGGGCGAAAGCCUGACGCAGCGACGCCGCGUGGGGGAUGAAGCUUUUCGGAGUGUAAACCCCUUUCGACCCGGACGAAAGCCCGCAAGGGCCUGACGGUACGGGUAUAAGAAGCCCCGGCUAACUACGUGCCAGCAGCCGCGGUAA